CUCAUUUAAUCUUCACACUGACGGGAUGGGCCAGGUCCACUGCUCAUGGGAGGUACGCCUUCUGAUGUGUGUGUGAGGAGGGCAUUCCAGGAAUAUCCUAGUCCUUUGUAUUCCUGGAGAGGAAUUACGAAGAGCAAAUUGCUGCUGUUUCUACAUGGAUCCAGACGAACAAGUCAGAGCAGGCUGCAAAAGGAAUCCUCAGCCUUUUUACUGCUGACUCAACAGGACAAGGAUAGGGAGCAGUCGGAGCUUCUGAAAAUCCUGAGGAACAUGUUCAAAUGCUGCCCUUCCCACCUGCUCUUUAGGACGAGUAAAGCAAGACCACUGAAGAAAGGCUCACGGGGUAGGUGGGUUCUCAGACUGAGGGAAGGAGACCUGCUGGCACAUUCCCAUAGUCAGGAGGAAGGAGGGCUACAGGGAAAGCAGGCUAUACGGGAUUCCUGUUGCAUGUCAAGGAAAUAGCAAAGAUGAAAUGAGAAUAAAAACUGAGCCCAGACGCCUUCAAGUCUUCCUGACGGUGGGAAAGUCCUUCGCCAUCUUCCUCCCCCACUUCUCUCCUCUCUUCCUCCCCUCCCUCCUUCUCUUCCUUCAGCUGUCUCCUCCAAGCUGGGACAGUUUCUCAGUCUUUCCUGAUCGUGUAUGACCUUGACACUUAGGAAUAGUCAUUUUCAGAUGUUUGGGGAUGGUCUCUCAAUUUGUGUUUGCCUGAUGAAUUCUCAUGAAAAGACUGAUAUUUGGGGGAAGAAUACCCCAGAGGGGAUGUGUGCUUCUUGUCACAUGGCUUUGGGGCACAUGAUAUCAACAGGACUGGAAAAAAAAUUGAACUAUAUUUGAUUUACAGUGUGUUUUCAUUUUAGAUGUAUGACAACAUGUACAUAGAUACUUUUCCAGAUUCCUUUCCAUUCUAUGUUACUAUAAAAUGUUGAAUACAGUUUCCCAUGGUACACAGUAGGACGUUGUUAAUCUAUAUUAUAUAUAGUAGUGGGUGUCUAUUAA